rnacentral:rRNA from 1 species
AACGGCCAUACCAUGAUGAAAGCACCGGUUCUCGUCCGAUCACCGAAGUUAAGCAUUAUCGGGCGUGGUCGUACUUGGGAGGGUGACCACCUGGGAACACCACGUGCCGUUG